rnacentral:rRNA from 1 species
CAAGAGGAGCUUGGAGACAGGUGCUGCAUGGCUGUCGUCAGCUCGUGUCGUGAGAUGUUGGUUAGGUCCCGCAACGAGCGCAACCCUUGUCUUUAGUUGCCAUCAUUAGUUGGGCACUCUAAGAGACUGCCGGUGUCAAACCGGAGGAAGGUGGGGAUGACGUCAAGUCCUCAUGGCCCUUACGACCAGGGCUACACACGUGCUACAAUGGCGCAUACAAAGAGAAGCGACCUCGCGAGAGCAAGCGGACCUCAUAAAGUGCGUCGUAGUCCGGAUUGGAGUCUGCAACUCGACUCCAUGAAGUCGGAAUCGCUAGUAAUCGUGGAUCAGAAUGCCACGGUGAAUACGUUCCCGGGCCUU